UUUUUGAUGGUGUAGUAGUUUGCAUGUUGGACUAUGACUCUGGAGACCAGGGUUCGAUUCCUGCUUGGUCACAAAA